CGGAGGUCCAGAGGGAGGAGCUAGGGAUCAGGGGAGGGAAAGGAUCGUUCUGUAUUGGGGCUCCUACAGGCCAGACUGGUGCUGUUGCUUGGCCAACUCGAUAUCAAUGCUGGUGCUCUCCUGAAAACAACAACACUAGAGUGGGGGCGUGGCUCAUGUCUUAAGCCAGUUUUUUCCUGCAUAACAACAAAAAAGAAUGGAAAAUCAUCUUGUUAAAAGCUUUACAAAAACUCAAGGCCUGCAUGGGGAUGACAGAAAUUAUUGCGGUGUUGUGUUUCUGAGGUGUCUGUAUCGGUAAAGGCCUGAUGUGGGACAAUUUGGCAUAUAUGGCAAGCAUGUAACGCUGCACAAAAUGCCUAGAAAUCAUGCCACGAAAACCGCAUGGAUUAGAGCUAUAAGCAGGCAAGAUGCGACGCCAAACGGAUACACCAGGGUAUGCUCUAAUCAUUGGUGGAUAGAAAUGGUCCAAACUCCAUGAACAGGAACAAGGUGCCAACAAAAUACCACGGGCAAAAGAUCAUUUCUAUCUAGAAAGUAAAGACAUGUUAAUCUCUAAUAAAG